GAAUGCUAAAAGAAUGGAAAUUUAAAAAAAAACUUUUUUAAAAAUAAAAAUUGAAUUUUUUUUAAUUUGUGCAAAAACAAUUAUACUUAUUAAAGACAAGAAGACCCUAAGAAUUUAAGAUUUUACAAUUAAAAAGUUUUUUUUUAAAAUCUUGAUUGGGGCGAUCAAAAAAUAUUAAUAACUUUUUAAAAUUUAAAUUGAUCUAUUAUUAAUAAACUAAUGAAUUAAAUACUCUAGGGAUAACAGCGUAAUAAUUUUUGAUAGAUCUUAUUGACAAAAUAGUUUGCGACCUCGAUGUUGGAUUAGGAUUCUUUUUUAAUGAAGAAGUUAAAAAAAGAAGUUUGUUCAACUUUUAAAUUCCUACUUGAUCUGAGUUCAAACCG
rnacentral:rRNA from 1 species